CUUACAUCCCACCAGUCCCACAUGAGUGAUCUCCAACCUGUUUUCCAGGCAGCUGUACCAUCUUACAUCCCACGAGCCCCAGGAACUUCAAACAGGAGACCAAGUGGUGACUUCAGGGACAUCCAGGGUGAUGUUGCAUCCCAGGACGAGAAGAGGCUGCCACUAGGAGCCACAGAUAGAGCUCCAGGGAGUUUAACAUACAACCUUUAAGAGGAAGAAAUUGCACCAGCCCAGAAUCAACUGCAUAACAGACAACCUUUAAAACGAAGAAAUCACACCAGCCCAGAACCAACUGCAUAACAUACAACCUUUAAAAGGAAGAAAUCGCAGCAGCCCAGAACCAACUGCAUAACAUACAACCUUUAAAAGGAAGAAAUCGCAGCAGCCCAGAACCAACUGCAUAACAUACAACCUUUAAAAGGAAGAAAUCGCAGCAGCCCAGAACCAACUGCAUAACAUACAACCUUUAAAAGGAAGAAAUCGCACCAGCCCAGAAUCAACUGCAUAACAUACAAACUUUAAAAGGAAGAAAUCGGCCUGGUGCAGUGGCUCACGCCUAUAAUCCCAGCACUUUGGGAGGCCAAAGUGGGUGGAUCACAAGGUCAGGAGAUCAAGACCAUCCUGGCUAACACGGUGAAACCCCAUCUGUACUAAAAAUAAAA
rnacentral:lncRNA from 1 species